GUUAAACGGCCGCGGUAUCCUGACCGUGCGAAGGUAGCGUAAUCACUUGUUUUUUAAAUAAAGACUAGUAUGAAAGGCAUCACGAGGAUCAAACUGUCUCCUUUUUUUAAUCCGUGAAACUAAUCUUCCCGUGAAGAAGCGGGAAUUUUCAUAUAAGACGAGAAGACCCUGUGGAGCUUUAAGGCAAAAUAAUUACUACCCCCUCGAUAUGCACGAGACCACCUUAAUUAUCUACCUUAGGUUGGGGCGACCGCGGAGUAAAAUUUACCCUCCGCGCAUAAGGGAGAUUUCCCCGCAAAGAGCUACAGCUCACGCAUUAAUAAAUUAACGCAAUUGACCCAAUUACUUGAGCAACGAAACAAGUUACCCCAGGGAUAACAGCGCAAUCCACCUCGAGAGCCCAUAUCGACAGGUGGGUUUACGACCUCGAUGUUGGAUCAGGGUAUCCCAGUGGUGCAGCCGCUACUAAAGGUUCGUUUGUUCAACGAUUAAAACCC
rnacentral:rRNA from 1 species